rnacentral:rRNA from 1 species
CGGGAGGCAGCAGUGGGGAAUAUUGCACAAUGGGCGCAAGCCUGAUGCAGCCAUGCCGCGUGUAUGAAGAAGGCCUUCGGGUUGUAAAGUACUUUCAGCGGGGAGGAAGGUGUUGUGGUUAAUAACCACAACAAUUGACGUUACCCGCAGAAGAAGCACCGGCUAACUCCGUGCCAGCAGCCGCGGUAAUACGGAGGGUGCAAGCGUUAAUCGGAAUUACUGGGCGUAAAGCGCACGCAGGCGGUCUGUCAAGUCGGAUGU